UACGGGGGGGGCAAGCGUUGUUCGGAAUUACUGGGCGUAAAGGGCUCGUAGGCGGCCAACUAAGUCAGACGUGAAAUCCCUCGGCUUAACCGGGGAACUGCGUCUGAUACUGGAUGGCUUGAGGUUGGGAGAGGGAUGCGGAAUUCCAGGUGUAGCGGUGAAAUGCGUAGAUAUCCGGAGGAACACCAGCGGCGAAGGCGGCAUCCUGGACUGGUCCUGACGCUCAGGAGCGAAAGCGUGGGGAGCGAUCCGG
rnacentral:rRNA from 1 species